rnacentral:rRNA from 1 species
GUAGUUUGACUCCGUCGGCGUACAGGACGAACGCUGGCGGCGUGCUUAACACAUGCAAGUCGAACGGAGUAAGACGCUGAAUUGAUGUCAGCUUGCUGAUGGAUUUUCUUGUCAUACUUAGUGGCGGACGGGUGAGUAACGCGUGAGUAACCUGCCCUUCAGUGGGGAAUAACGUUCUGAAAAGAACGCUAAUACCGCAUAACAUACAGAGGCCGCAUGGUCAUUGUAUCAAAGAUUUAUCGCUGAAGGAUGGACUCGCGUCCGAUUAGCUUGUUGGCGGGGUAACGGCCCACCAAGGCGACGAUCGGUAGCCGGACUGAGAGGUUGAACGGCCACAUUGGGACUGAGACACGGCCCAGACUCCUACGGGAGGCAGCAGUGGGGGAUAUUGCGCAAUGGGGGAAACCCUGACGCAGCAACGCCGCGUGGAGGAUGACGGUUUUCGGAUUGUAAACUCCUUUUAUGGGGGACGAAGAAAGACGGUACCCCAUGAAUAAGCUCCGGCUAACUACGUGCC